AUAAGUUAGAAUGAGAAAAAAUAUAUUUGUCUUAUUCUAAUUUAUUGCACCAGUGCAGCAGUGCAGGAAUAAAAAACAAACCUCAUUACCUAUAGAGUUCUAUUAAUCUUAUUAUAAGUAGUUCUUCGAAUAUACAUAACAAACAUAAUCAACAAUUUACUGAAGAAGAAAGGAAGAUUGAGGUUAUGGAAUCUGUAUGUAGAGGGUUAUAAAACACUACCAACAAAUAUUCUCAAAAUUUUUAUUUCUAAAAAAUAAAAAAUUAACGCUUUUUGGUGCAUUUUGCACAUCAGUAUCACAAUUAGAUAUUUGUGUACAAGUGCGAGAAGUCGGCUAUUUCCUUCAAGUUUGGGGAGUGGACGCACGAGCCAUAAGCGAGUAUGUUUAUUUGCACGAGUAGGGAUAGCCCAUCCGCAAAUAUUAUAUACAAUAUUUUUUAUGACCUGUGCGUCGAAGUGUUGUCCUUUACUGUUAAUUAACAGGUUAGCUAAGGUUAGGUUAGGUUUGCGGAAGCGACGAAAUGUUGAGAGUUACUGAAGCGCUUUAUGAGAGGGCGAUGAAGUGAAUAGAGUGCGAAAAUAAUUCUUGCACGACUAUUUUCGCACGCUUGAUCGGUAGGGGAAUUACUUGUGCGAGAAAACUGCAAUGUCCGUAUACAAUCGGUGAUUUUGCGGCCGGUAGAAAACCACGAGAAGGACGCAUUACUUUUGACGCACAAUAUAUUUUACAUUUCCAGUGUACGCCAUUAAAUUUAAUUAUGUUAUUUAAAAGUCAUAUUCAAACCUUUAAGUUACACGAAAAUUAAAUUAUUUUAUAGUUGUUUUACUUUAAUGUAACUUGAAGAGCUUGAAUAAAAAUUAAAAACCGAUUUAUUUCUUAAAAUGAUAUGAAAAAUGCACACUUAUAAAACUGUCGGCUAUCUGUAAUAUUGAAUAUAGUUUUUGUGAUAACACAGCAAACAAAUUAACAAACGCUUAAGGAGUCAAAGCUGGAUGAUAUACGCUAAUUGUUUAUUUCGUUAUAUGAACAUUAACGAUAUAGACGUUUCGGCACAUGGGUUUCGAUCAUUAGUGUCCUUAAUGUAAUUAAUAAACAUUGUGCAUAUUUUAGUGUCAAUGCUGAAAAGAAUUUCACGUGUCAAUUUUAUUAUUGGUUUCAGAUUGGAUAGGUCAAGUGUUUCAAUAUACGUCAUUGACGUUAUGUGUAGUUAUACAGAUCGCAUUAUCGCAUUGUGUAACCGCGCCUCCUUUGCGCCCCGAGAGCGCUCAGCCCUCUUCACUUCCGACAUACAUCCCCAGAGAGACCACAGCCAAUCAGUGAUCGAGAUUUGUGGCUGCAGGUUGACUCUUUUAUGUCUAAUGCAGAUUGCCAAAGGGCAAGCUAGUGCAGUGUAAAGAUGCCAUUACAUGAUAAGCGUCGAGUGUCGAGCUGAUACAUAAAAAAUUACUGUGCAGGUGUCCAAACUUGUAGAUUCCCUUCUUGACGCAAACGGUAAGUAAAGGAAAUUACAUUCUGAUAUACACUAAAUUUUCUAAUGUGUAAUACUGAAAAUGUAUAAAAGAUACGUUAACUAUAGAUUUUCAGUAUUAUUUUAUAUUCAGUAAAUAUUGGAAUACGAGCUCAAUAAAAUUAUUAAAUGUUGUAAAUAUUUUGACACUCAACAUGCACUUGCUGCUUUCAUAUAAAGCACCUAGAUUGCUUUGACGCUGAUGAGGUGAACAUCGUUAGCGAUAAGAUGCAUAGUAAUCAGUAGCACAGACCGCUGCCGAUGCAUCCAUGUAUAAUAUGCGUAAUAAUGUACACUUCCGCAUACGUUCACGGUACGUUUCUAUUAUAGCGUCAUAGGAACACUGAUAUAUCCGUUUGCUCGUCAAUAAUUUAACAAGUAAUAUUCGACAUCAUUUUGACAAGCAGUUUUCAUGUGCAUUGGCGCACAAUUCAGACGUGCAUGCGAAACAUAUAUAGAUAAAUGUUCCUCUAGAAAAAUCUUAAAAAAAAGGUGCUGAUAUAUAUAAUAAAGUCAAGACUUUAAGGUUUAUUAAAGAGGAUGCUUCUUCUA